UUCAAUUUCUAACCACCUAACUCUACAAUCUAUCUCUUCCAAAAAUAUAGCCCCACACAUCUACCGUCAGAAGAACUGCCAUUGGAUGCUGUUUAUAUGAGUCACUUCCUCUCUACAACUUCACUACUCUUUCCAUUUGACACUUGGUUUCACAUUCCUGUUUCUCCCUUACAGAUUCAGUUCCAUUACUCAAGAUGUUACUGCUACAGGUUCUUUUAGUGACUUCAAUUUGGUCUUAUGGAUCUAUAGGAGUAACUCUCACCCAAAAUCCAUGGUCUACGACCAGAAGUGUAGGCACUACUGCACGCAUGAAGUGCAUUUUUAAUGACUUUACGGGAACUUUCGAUUCAGCUGCAAUUCACUGGUAUCAACAGAGCCCUGGUGAAGCUCCAAAGAGAGUUUUGUACUUCAUAUCAGGAGACGCUGCUGUUGAUGACCAAUCUCAGAAAAGCAGGUUUACAGUUGAGAAAGAUUUUUCAAAGCUCACCUGUACUUUCCAAAUAAAUAGUGCAACGAAAACUGAUACCGGUGUCUACUACUGUGCUUACUGGGAUACCCACAGUGUUAGAAAACCAUGAAUAACCUGCACAAAAACUCAUUUUGCAUUUUCAACCACAGCCCUUUAACUGCAUGAUACCAGACACUUUUGUAAUAUUUCCUCUCAGCCAGGAACCUGCUACAGAAACUCCUCUUGACACCUGACAGAAAAGAUAAUAUAACUUCUGCUUUGCUGCAUAUAUUACUAAUAAAUUCUAAGGCCCCAAAACAGUAAAUGCAGCAGAUCUUACAUAAUUAUUUGAAUCCAUGAAUACUGCCCAG